GGUCUGCAAAGCUAUGGGGUGUGACCACAGGGCAGUGCGUUUGUGGCAUCCAGACCCACACUUGUGCCGUGGUGAAGUUCAAUGAACAGAAGCUUGUGACAGACUCCUUUGACGACACUGUGGCUUGCUGGGAAUGGAGUUCCGGAGCCAGGAUCCGGCACUUUCGCGGGCACACGCGGGCAGUGUUUAGCGUGGACUACAAUGAUACCUUGGUGAGCGGCUCUGCGGCCUUCACUGUGAAAGGAUGGACUUUAUCUACUGGGGCAUGCCUGAGCACACUCACUGGGCACACGCCAUGGGUCACCAAGGUAGUUCUGCAGAAGUGCAAAGUCAAGUCUCUCUUGCACACAGUCCUGAAGGAUACCUCCUCUUAAGUGCAGACAAAUAUGAGAUUAAGAUUUGGCCAACUGGGACAGAAAUCAACUGCAAGUGCUUAAAGACAUCCUCUUGUCUCUGAGGUUAGAAGUAUCCGCCUGCAGCCAAGACUUCGUGUUGAUGGCAAAUACACUGUUUGUAGUUCAGCCCUCCGUCUCUAGCAGCGGGACUUUGCCAACAGUUAUGAUAUUCUCAGGGUCAUCAAGACUCCUGAGAUAGCAAACUUGGCCUUGCUUGGCUUUGGAAAUACUGUUGCCCUACUGUUUGGCAGCUGCCACCUGUACAUCAUGGACUUGCAGACCCAGAGCCUCAUUAAUCGCUGGCCUCUUCCAGAGUACAAGAAAUCAAAGAGAGGCUCAAGCUUCCUGGCAGGCGAAGCAUCCUGGCUGAAUGGAGCAGAUGGGCACAAUGACACGGGCUUGGCCUUUGCCACCAGUAUUCCUGACCACAGUAUUCACCUGGUGUGGAAGGA
rnacentral:lncRNA from 1 species